rnacentral:misc_RNA from 1 species
GAAUUGCGAAAAGUAAUGCGACUUGCAUAAAUCGUGAGUCAUCGAAUCCUUGAACGCACCCUGCACCUUUUGGCUAUCCGGAAGGUCUGCCUGUUUGAGUAGAUGAAAUAAGCAUCAAGUGGCAAGCUGCCGUCGAACAGUAGCCAUCUUGGGUUUGAGCUUUCCAGUGUCUGCUACAUCCGUAGCAACCCUGGUAGCUUUAAAUGCAUGAAUCGGAACGAGUGUGCCUGAUGGCGCGAACGGUGUUUUAGUCGGGUCAGAGAUGACCGGUCAAGCACGCCAGUAGCGGCACUCUAAAGCGCGCUCGCGUCCGAACACUGGGGCAGUGGUUCGACCCUGCCAUAACCGCACUCUUCAUCUCAAAUCAGGUAGGAAUACCCGCUGAACUUAA